CCAGAACACAGCUUACGGCUACUAUGCCAACAUCGGCAAACAGACCAGCAUCGACCGUGAUAAAGUACAAGACUCUUGGCAAACUCUCACAGAACAUGUUCAUUUAAUGACAGUGACGAUGAGCUCCAUACUCAAACGGGCGAGCUGGGCGACAUUGUGCAGUAUUUGAAGCACCAGGCUGACAGAGGAGAUAUAGAAUCUCAGAAAUCUCUGGCCAGGAUGCUUCUAUGGGGCAGUAACGGGG